rnacentral:lncRNA from 1 species
UGGUAAAGUUGAGAAAGGGAAGGAGUAUUGAAGCACAGAAAGCGGUGAAAUUAAGCCGGUUCGGCUAAGAUCCUUUGCAACCUCCUCCCUGCAGGAUGGCCGGCGGCAACCAUCCCAAAUCCUCUCUCCAUAACAAACCUCCGCCCUCCUCCGCCGCCUCCGCCUCCGCCUCCCACCGUAAAUCCCGCUGGGAACCCAACUCCUCCUCCGUCAAAUCCCCACCCGAUCCCAAAACCUCCGCCGCCCCUUCCCCAAACCCAAGCCCAAACCCAAACCCAAUUCUAACCCUAACCCUAGCCCCAAACACCCAUCCGAUCACCCUUCCCUCCUUCCCUUCCCCUUCCCAGACCCCUCCCCUCUCGGCCCACCCCCUCCUCCCGCC